rnacentral:rRNA from 1 species
UACAGAGGGUGCGAGCGUUAAUCGGAAUUACUGGGCGUAAAGCGCACGUAGGCGGCUUGGUAUGUCGGGUGUGAAAUCCCCGGGCUCAACCUGGGAACUGCAUCCGAAACUGCCUUGCUAGAGUAUGGGAGAGGGAAGUGGAAUUUCCGGUGUAGCGGUGAAAUGCGUAGAUAUCGGAAGGAACAUCAGUGGCGAAGGCGGAACUCUGGGCCGGAACUGACGCUGAGGAGCGAAAGCGUGGGGAGCGAACAGG